rnacentral:lncRNA from 1 species
AUUGCCCGGGAUGUUGACGGGUCAGGUAACUACUUAAUGCUUACACAUAAGCAGGUUGCUCAGCUGCACCCCUUAUCCAGCUACGCCAUCACCAAGAAGAUGCCCGAGUGGGUCCUCUUCCAUCAGUUCAGCAUAUCUGAGAACAACUACAUCAGGGUCACCUCAGCAGUCUCCCCUGAGCUGUAAGUCUAAUGGAGAAGGAAGGGCUUCCUUUUUAACUCACUCCUGUAGAAGUAAAUCACACACAGGAUUGUUUCACUCUCACUGAUAUGAGACUGCUAGAGCGAAGGCACCAGGACACUGGCUGUGUAGAGCAAUGGCCUUAGCCAGCCUUAAGGAAUGGCUGGAGCUGGGAGUGGGGGAUGGGGUGAUGCAGAGGAGGAGGGAAGGUGAGGGUAAAGAGACAGGUAGUUCCAGAAGGUAUACCUCCUUUUACCCUAGUGUAGUGCAGAGCAAUUGAAGCUUUAGGCAAGAGGAAGGCUCUCUCCAAUAAAGAUCUCUGUGUAGCUGCUAAGUAGGAAGGACAGGAAGGGCAACACUGGGGAUGGAGACUCUCAGAGCUGACUCCAGACUCAGUCUAAAGGCACCGCACGUUCAAGGUUGCAGCUUACCUUACACGGGUGGAUUCAGAGUAAAGCUUGUUGAAGUUAGGUGGCAAAGACUCCCCUUGUUGCCUACCCAAAGCUCUUUCCAAGUAUCUCCUCUGAUCCCUCUCAUGAGGGUGCAUAGCACACUUCCACUGUGUGGCCUUGUACUAGAGGAGUAACAUUUGGAGUGCAUUGAGUCUGACCGCACUAAUACCAGAGCCUGUAUUAUCUACACAAAAACCAGAUCUGCAUAUUCCCUGGGGCUGGGGUGGACCUGCACAUCUGCCUGCCAUUCCCCAGUGUUCAUAGUAUUGUUUGUUUUAAAUACACAGAUUUAUGCAGCUGGUACCACAAUACUAUUUCAGUAACCUGCCUCCUAGUGAAAGCAAGGACAUCCUACAACAAGCCUCAGGCCACCUACCCACCACAGCUAUGGACAAGGACCAGGAUGUGUGUGACAAGUGCCCAGAUGCUACUGAGCAGAGAUGCACAGUCCAGUGACCUCUCCAACACAGAGUGCAAUACAGACACCAAGGGGAGGCUGGUGGUGGGCUGCUGGAGCCAGGGCAGUCCUGGACAUGAACACUUCAAGUAUGAUUUUAAAAUAAAAAAAUAGUUUUUAUUAAGUUCUUAAAAUUACUAUUCCACGCUUUUCUUAUUGGAAAUUUUUAACCAAUCAUAAUUUGACCAAAAUAAAGAAAAAACCAUUUUGUAAAUGUGUCACAGACACGUGGAACAGAGCCCUACUUUUUGUAGAGGACUUGAAUCUGAAUAAAAUAAUGAGUUUUUCAGU